rnacentral:rRNA from 1 species
UACGGAGGGUGCUAGCGUUGUUCGGAAUCACUGGGCGUAAAGGGCGUGUAGGCGGUCUGUUAAGUCUGAUGUGAAAUCCCCUCGCUCAACGAGGGAACUGCGUCGGAUACUGGCAGACUCGAGUACCGGAGAGGAAGGUGGAAUUCCCGGUGUAGCGGUGAAAUGCGUAGAUAUCGGUAGGAACACCGGUGGCGAAGGCGGCCUUCUGGACGGAUACUGACGCUGAGACGCGAAAGCGUGGGGAGCAAACAGG